rnacentral:tRNA from 1 species
GCCCGGGUGGUCUAGUGGUAUGAUUCUCGCUUAGGGAUGGUAAAACGCCUACAAACCCAAGCAUAUCUGCGAGAGGUCCCGCGUUCGAUCCGCGGCUCGGGCC